rnacentral:rRNA from 1 species
CAACUUACCUAUCAGAGGGGGAUAGCCCGGCGAAAGUCGGAUUAAUACCCCAUAAAACAGGGGUCCCGCAUGGGAAUAUUUGUUAAAGAUUCAUCGCUGAUAGAUAGGCAUGCGUUCCAUUAGGCAGUUGGCGGGGUAACGGCCCACCAAACCGACGAUGGAUAGGGGUUCUGAGAGGAAGGUCCCCCACAUUGGUACUGAGACACGGACCAAACUCCUACGGGAGGCAGCAGUGAGGAAUAUUGGUCAAUGGCCGAGAGGCUGAACCAGCCAAGUCGCGUGAAGGAAGAAGGAUCUAUGGUUUGUAAACUUCUUUUAUAGGGGAAUAAAGUGGAGGACGUGUCCUUUUUUGUAUGUACCCUAUGAAUAAGCAUCGGCUAACUCCGUGCCAGCAGCCGCGGUAAUACGGAGGAUGCGAGCGUUAUCCGGAUUUAUUGGGUUUAAAGGGUGCGUAGGUGGUGAUUUAAGUCAGCGGUGAAAGUUUGUGGCUCAACCAUAAAAUUGCCGUUGAAACUGGGUUACUUGAGUGUGUUUGAGGUAGGCGGAAUGCGUGGUGUAGCGGUGAAACGCAUAGAUAUCACGAAGAACUCCGAUUG